CCACGGUUCCAAAAACCAUGGCAAAACUAACAAAAAAAUACAACUUUCUCUACGAUGUGAAAACCGACGCUAAAAUUCAGUGGGAAAAUUAGGCGGGUACUAAAUUUUACUCCCUCCCUUUAUUUUUUCAUUUGCCCCCAUUUAUUUUUCUAUUUUGCUUUUGUUUUCCUCUUUCAUCAAAAACUCCCUAUACCCAAAUCGGCAGCUUCACCCAAAAUCCCACUAAUUCACCAAAAAAUUCGUCUGCUUCAUUGUCCCCAGCUUCAAAUAGUAGCGGAAAGUGGUAGAAUCACUUAAUCCAGGAGAAUAUGAAGCGAAAACGCAAGAAUUCAGCACAAGCAAUGUUAGAAAGCCUACGAGGACGGCAAGCUGACAACAAUAGCACAACUUCCCAAGAUUUGCAGCAACAAAUUAGUGGGUAUCAACUAGAUGACCAACUUGAUAAUGAGAACCUAACAACUCAUACAUUCGGUAAUGACAACUUGAAUUCUUCUUCAAGCUCCAAUGAAGCUAACUCAAAAAAUAAAGAGGAGCCCUUACUUGUCAAGAUUAAAGAUAUUUUGACUGGAGAAGUUACAACUGAAAAGAUGCAAGCAGAUCGAGUUUGGAACUUGGAAAAAAAUAAAAAAAAUUGUGGUGGAACUCAACGCGGAUGGACAAGGAUGUGAUAAUGGUUCAAACUUGCUUGUGAGAUUUCUUGGCAAACUUUCUCAAAAGUCAAUAAUUUGUCCCAUAUCAGUUAAGAGAUGGGAUAGGAUGCCUGAGGCAAAAAAUCGCCUACAAUGGCAGUUAAUUGAGGUAACUAUCUAAAUUCUUUCAGUUUCAAUGAGUGUAU